UUUCACCAAAUCCAGUGAGCUUCACUCACUAGUUUACAGAAAACAGAACAAUUUGUUGGAAAGCCUUGAGCAGAGGAGCCUAUGCUCCUACUUCCUCCAACUUCUUCACCCUGGCCUCCCGGUGACAGCUCUUCUCUUUCCCUUUCCAAGGCACACCACGACCACCUUGUAACUUCCCAGUUCCUUAUUACAUCUGGCCUCACAGGAAAAUUAAGUUAAAGAAGCUGCAGGGGCAGUCACAGGAGGGGGCAUGGAAUUCACGACUCACACUCCACGUUUAGCAGCAGAGCCCAAAUAUUAAAAAAAAAAAAAAAAAAACACACAGUAGAUGUACAAUCAACAUUAGGUCUCUGCCCUUCCUCUCCUCUUCUUCAAGCCCAGCAUGUUUAAAACAGCAAAUUCUCUGCUCCCAUGCUGGGAUAUCCACUGGCCUAACUCAUAUGUGCUGAAGCUUAAACACAGGGCAUCAUUUAAAAUAUGGCUGUCAAGGCCUAUCACCUACUACUAAACUUAAAAACGUAUCACAAAACUGUAACUAGGAUAAGCGUAUUUUGUUAAAAUAAUAAACAUUUCUACAGCACAAAAAAAGGAUAAUAAGAUAAAGACCACAAAUAUUAACAAUCACCUCUGAGUGGUGGGACUAAAGGUGAGUUUCUCUUUUUUCUGGCUUAUCUGCAUUUUUAAUAAUGAAUCUGUAACUUCCGUAAUAACAAAAAUAACUGGAAAUCUUCAGAAAAAUAAAUCAUUCUGGCUCAAAAUUUCACUACCUCUUAUACUACAGACACUUUCACACAUUACUGCACUGAAGCUGAAUUAGCACCAUGUGAAACAGACACGAUUUCCUCCAUUUUGCAGAUGAGAAUGAGCUGAGGCUCAAAACAGUGACUUGGUCAAGGUUUUAUAGCUAGUAACAGACCAAGGAUUACAAUUCAGGCCUUCAACUCCAAGCCUGGGGCCCUUUCCAUUCCAUCACAUCUUAAAGGGCAAUUUGCAUUAUUGCUCAUGAUAUUGUAUUUAAAAAAAAAACCAGAAACCCUAUGUUGAAACUGUUGUAAGAGCACCUGCUACAUAAUCUUGGGCAAAUAACCUCGGGAGCCUCAGUUUCCUCAUCUGAAAAGUGAAAUGGUUGGAAAAGAUAUUCUAUCUCACCAGCUAAUCUAGCCUCACCAGCUAAUGGAUUUUAAGUCUAGAUACCAUCUGAGGAGAAAAUAACCCCGAGGGCAAAAAUGAAUGGUUGGAGAGAAGUUGAGGCCUUAUGCUCUGGGCCAAGGGCCAUUCUUAAUGGAAACAGGUGGUGGACAGUCAAGAGGAAAAGAACCGCUGGGGAAACCAUAAACUUCCAGGUUAAAACAACAGCUGAAAGCUCCUGCUUCGCUUUCCUAACAGCAAUGCUUUCAAUCUUGGCUAACUCAUGAUUAGAAACCACACUGUAAGUAGAGCUAGAAGAAUAUAAAAACACGGGGGGAGGGGAGGGACCUGUAGCAAUAGUUUAUGCACGCUAUGGUAACUGGAUGAUUUUUCAAGUGGACUCACUAAUGUUAAAACGGAAAAAAACCCUUGGUGGUCCCCAGAGACGACUCUUCCUCAGCAAGAAUGUAAGGAGAAACUGAAAACUGCGUACCACUCUGAGAGAUGCCACACUCGUGGAAAAGAGCCAACCCAACACUUGUGGAAAAAGUGAAAGAAUGAAAUUAAAACCUCUUCGAUCUACAGAGAAUCAAAGAAAGCGAAGAGACCUUUCUUAAGGGUGAAGUUCCUGUAAACGAUUCAUCGGGUACCUGUUACCUCUUACACUGCAGACAUUAUAAAGCACUCCACGCUAUCUGACAUUAUUAUACAGUCUUCUCCCUCGAAGGUAAUAAAACUACAGCAUUAACUUUGCUGGCGAGAAAAAAAAGAUUCCAUUUUGCUAAAGCAGGCUCCGACCAAAAUCGCACCACCUUCCCCUCAACUACGGGGAUGAGCCUAAACCAAGGAGAAGCCGUUUAGAGCCAGUGCAACCAUCUUAGAGAAUUAAAACAACAUCCUGCUCCGAGGACCACAACCAAGAUACCAGCGGCUUUAAAUCCAAAACCAGGUCCUUAGCGAAGAAAGCUCCUCACCGUGCUCUCCGCACUCCCGGGUGCGAGAAUCCAGCCCCACUACUAGGCCGUAACGGCAGAUAAGCAACAGGAUCCAGGCCUUCCUUCUCUGCUGAGAUGGGGACUACUUCCCUGGUGGCGCAGUGGUUAAGAAUCCGCCUGCCAAUGCAGGGGACACGGGUUUGUGCCCGGGUCCGGGAAAAUCCCACAUGCUGUGGAGCAACUAAGCCCGUGCACCACAACUACCGAGCCUGAGCUCUAGAGCCUGCACGCCGCAACUACUGAAGCCCGCACACCUAGAGCCCCUGCUCCGCAACAAGAGAAAACACCGGAAA